rnacentral:rRNA from 1 species
AACGAACGCUGGCGGCAUGCCUAACACAUGCAAGUCGAACGAGACCUUCGGGUCUAGUGGCGCACGGGUGCGUAACGCGUGGGAACCUGCCCUUGGGUUCGGAAUAACUGCCAGAAAUUGCUGCUAAUACCGGAUGAUGUCUUCGGACCAAAGAUUUAUCGCCUAGGGAUGGGCCCGCGUAGGAUUAGCUAGUUGGUGGGGUAAUAGCCUACCAAGGCGACGAUCCUUAGCUGGUCUGAGAGGAUGAUCAGCCACACUGGGACUGAGACACGGCCCAGACUCCUACGGGAGGCAGCAGUGGGGAAUAUUGGACAAUGGGCGCAAGCCUGAUCCAGCAAUGCCGCGUGAGUGAUGAAGGCCUUAGGGUUGUAAAGCUCUUUUACCAGGGAUGAUAAUGACAGUACCUGGAGAAUAAGCGCCGGCUAACUCCGUG